UUAAGUUCAGCGGGUAGUCCUACCUGAUUCGAGGUCAACCUUAAAAUAGUUGGGGUUUCACGGCGUGGCCGCUCGAAGCUUUCCUUUGCGAGGUUAAAUUACUACGCAGAGGUCGCCUCCGAGGGCCGCCACUGAAUUUCGGGGGCGGCGUCCCCGGCAAGCCGGGGGGGAGUGUGCCGUCCCCCAACGCCGAGCCGUCC
rnacentral:misc_RNA from 1 species